GCGAGGCUGCGGAUGCCCUUGGAACAGCAAGGAGCCACCUUAGUUUUACUCUUCUAUAAGGGUCUUCUAAGAUCCUGCUGACUGCACCAACUGUCACAAGCAAGCAGGUAGAUACACCUAAUUAGUGUAACAAAGGUUAUAUUUCAUUAUGCUGAGGAGCAUCACGCAAUGUUCACACUCUAAAUUUCCAACUACAGUCCUAAGCCUAUCUCCCCAAGGCUGCUCACUUGUGAGAUGUAGCUUAGCUGCAGGUCAGGUCCUGAGGGAGACUCUCUAACCACAGAGGAGAUCCAGGUAGUGUCUCUCCAGAUAGGCAAAGCAGAGCAUUGCUCUCCGUCUCUGCUUAUGUACUGUCCAGUGGGUAUCAUGGGAUUCUAAGACUGUGUCUGGUUAUCUUGAGUGAGUGAUAUCACUGAGUUCUCAGGUUCAGCCUUGGGUGGAGUGGGGAUCCUGACAUGUCUAGAUUUUGCAUGUCUAAAUGAGCAUCUUGUUUUCACUAUGUUCAGUACAAAAAAACAAAACAAACGAAUGAAAGAAAGAAGGAAAAAGUCAGUAGAAAAAAAAGAAAAUAUAGACUCAGUUCAACCUCAAAACAAAGAGAGCAGACUUCUGAGUGUGAGAGGGUGCUGUUGUGUGGCAGCCACCAGCGAAGACUUAUAGGCCAAUAGAAAGUCAUUUUUAUCCCGGCAGCAAUGCCACUGGCUGUUUGGGAUCUCUGGGAAAGCUUGUUCUAGGUUGACAUCGGUUAACAAGAACAGUUGCAGAAGCAGAACUCAAAAAGCCUGAAAGCAAGGUUAGUACAUUGACAGACUUUGAUGGGUUGGGUCGUGGUCUUCGUUUUGGCAGGUGGUAUACAGGCUGAGUUUUACAACCUGAAUGACACUUGCAUCACAAAAUCAGUUGUGCUUAGGUCUGAGGCCAACUAAGGUAUGGGGCCCUGUUAUAAAUGACACACUCAAACCCUGGGACUCAGUAUCCCAGCUUUCUAAAGAAUGAGCCUUGCAGGGUCUGACAAUCAGUGUUUGUGGUGGAGAGUAGGGAGGGAGGAAACCUGGCUUCACCAGACACAGAAGAAAUUGAUUUUUUUUUAACUCCAGGGUGAGAGAUAAGCCAGAUUUUUGAGGGGUGGGGCACAGAGUGCAAGCUCUAGGCUCCUGGCCACAUAAUGGGAACUGGCUGCUUUCUGGAAACUCUGUGGGUAACAUUUCUUGAAGCCUUGGAUUAGUCAAAUGGUUCUGGUUUGUGGGGCAGAGAUUUCCUUUAAACAUUCUCAUCUAAACUUGGGGAUACAGAAACUUUCUCCACUGUUGCAGGCUUUCUCUAAGCCUGACCUUUACGGAAACUGAGCAUUUAAAACACCUCUACCCCAAUAGUUACCAUUUCAGCCACAUCUGCACCCUGGUUCCCUGUGUUCCUACUCUCUACAUCCCCCACUUGAAAAGAG
rnacentral:lncRNA from 1 species